ACCUACGGGGGGCAGCAGUGGGGAAUAUUGCACAAUGGGGGAAACCCUGAUGCAGCAACGCCGCGUGAGUGACGAAGGCCUUCGGGUUGUAAAACUCUGUCUUAGCUGACGAUAAUGACGGUAAGCUAGGAGGAAGCCACGGCUAACUACGUGCCAGCAGCCGCGGUAAUACGUAGGUGGCGAGCGUUGUCCGGAAUUACUGGGCGUAAAGGGAGCGUAGGCGGUUUUUUAAGUGGGAUGUGAAAUCCCCGGGCUUAACCUGGGAAUUGCAUUCCAAACUGGAAGACUAGAGUGCAGGAGAGGAAAGUGGAAUUCCAAGUGUAGCGGUGAAAUGCGUAGAGAUUUGGAGGAACACCAGUGGCGAAGGCGACUUUCUGGACUGUAACUGACGCUGAGGCUCGAGAGCGUGGGGAGCAAACAGGAUUAGAUACCCCCGUAGUCCG
rnacentral:rRNA from 1 species